GGAGAGGUGGCCGAGAUGGCUGAAGGUGCACGCCUGGAAAGCGUGUGUACUCUAACCGGGUACCGAGGGUUCGAAUCCCUCCUUCUCCGCCA
rnacentral:tRNA from 2 species